rnacentral:lncRNA from 1 species
GCGGAGGGACCGGUCUUCCCCACCCUUGAUAACACGGGCCCCGGUUUGGCCUUCGUAGCAUUGUCCACAACAGUAUUCCGGUGGCGGAGGGGCCGAUCGUCCGUACCCUUGAUAACACGGACCCCCAGUUUGGCCUCCGUAGCAUUGUCCACAACAAUAUCCGUGUGGCGGUUGUGGGUAUUCUUGAAUUGGCACUGGCGUUGGCAUUGGCAUUACGGGCUCUGGUUUAGGUUUAGGAACUUCUUUGGGCUUUUCGGGCUCUGGUUUAGGUUUAGGAACUUCUUUGGGCUUUUCGGGCUCUUUGGGCUUAGGCUUCUCAACUUCUUUUGGCUUUUCAGGUGUCUUAGGUUUCUGAGGCUCUUUAAUGAUAACAAUCUUAGGCUUCUCAGGUUCUUUAGGUUUUUCAGUAACGACAACCUUAGGCUUCUCAGGCUCCUUGGGCUUUUCAAUGACGACAACUUUAGGUUUUUCGGGCUCUUUAGGCUUUUCAGGUUUGGGCUUUUCGGGCUCUUUGGGCUUUUCGGGAGGUUUGGGCUUUGGAGGGUCUUUGAUUUCAAUGCUUUUGAUUACUCCACAUCCUUUACAACACAAUUUGUCACGAAGUUUUUCAGGAUUACAACAAACAACAGUGAUUGUGACUGUAUUGCCCUUCUCAUCAUAUACUUGAUCUCUAA